rnacentral:rRNA from 1 species
UGUAAGCGUAUACCAAAGUUGUUGCAGUUAAAACGCUCGUAGUCGGAAUUUGGCAGUUCCGGAAGUGUGCACGUCGUGUGCGCACUUUGCGGGGACUGCUUUUGUGGUCUUGCGUAGGAUGAGGCACUUUCAUUAGUGAACGUCCUCACGCAACCACUCUUUACUGUGAGAAAAUCAGAGUGCUCAAAGCAGGCAUUUGCCGUGAAUGUAUUAGCAUGGAAUAAUAGAAUAGGACUCGGUUCUAUUUUGUUGGUUUGUUGGGACUGAGUAAUGAUUAAGAGGGACAGUUGGGGGCAUUUGUAUUCCGGCGCUAGAGGUGAAAUUCUUAGAGUGCCGGAAGACAAACUGCUGCGAAAGCGUCUGCCAAGGAUGUUUUCAUUGA